rnacentral:rRNA from 1 species
GGGGACCCGCACAAGCAGCGGAGCGUGUGGUUUAAUUCGUUGCUACACGAAGAACCUUACCUGGGUUUGACAUAUAGGUUGUAGGGAACUGAAAGGGACCGACCCUUCGGGGAGCCUAUACAGGUGUUGCAUGGCUGUCGUCAGCUCGUGUCGUGAGAUGUUCGGUUAAGUCCGCUAACGAGCGCAACCCUCGUCGUAUGUUAUAUGUGUCAUACGAGACUGCCGGUAAAAGCCGGAGGAAGGUGAGGAUGAUGUCAAGUCAGCAUGACCUUUAUAUCCAGGGCUACACACACGCUACAAUGGUCUGUACAAUGGGUAGCCAAGCCGCGAGGCGGAGCCAAUCCUGAAAGCAGGCCUCAGUUCAGAUUGCAGUCUGCAACUCGACUGCAUGAAGCCGGAGUUGCUAGUAACCGCAGGUCAGCAAUACUGCGGUGAAUACGUUCCCGGGUCUU